GACGAACGCUGGCGGCGUGCUUAACACAUGCAAGUCGAACGGAAAGGCCUCUUUCGGGGGGUACUCGAGUGGCGAACGGGUGAGUAACACGUGAGUAACCUGCCCUUGACUUUGGGAUAACUUCAGGAAACUGGGGCUAAUACCGGAUAGGAGCUCCUGCUGCAUGGUGGGGGUUGGAAAGUUUCGGCGGUUGGGGAUGGACUCGCGGCUUAUCAGCUUGUUGGUGGGGUAGUGGCUUACCAAGGCUUUGACGGGUAGCCGGCCUGAGAGGGUGACCGGCCACAUUGGGACUGAGAUACGGCCCAGACUCCUACGGGAGGCUGCAGUGGGGAAUAUUGCACAAUGGGUGGAAGCCUGAUGCAGCAACGCCGUGUGCGGGAUGACGGCCUUCGGGUUGUAAACCGCUUUCGCUCAUGACGAAGCUUUGUGUGACGGUAGUGGGUAAAGAAGCACCGGCUAACUACGUG
rnacentral:rRNA from 1 species